ensembl:lncRNA
GUCCAGUCAGCCCGCAGUAAAGUCAUAUGAGGACACGGUGAACUUUUGUUGGCCGGAAACGGACACUCUCACACAACUACACAUUCUACACACUAUUGGUUAUGUUCCCAGAAUACAGAGGAGUGGAAACAUCUGGAACAUGUUGUUGUUCUUAGCCAUACAAGGACAUAGAAGGGUGAACUGACUGAUACUUAUCAGGUGAUUUGACGUCAUCAUUGCAAUAAAAGCCUUGUGUUAGGGUUGUUCUGGGGAGAUUGGCUCGUGAAGGCUGGUGGGGCUCAUCUUCCCCAUAUGUACAUAUGUAUAAUAAAAUCACUAUUCUGACAUCUACUGAGAGACCAUGCAGUCAUUUGUCUCUUCCUCAAAUUCGAACCUUGACAUUUUGGUGCCGAAACACCGGUUUGAGGGGAGACUAAUGGACCUUGGCUGACGGUCUAGUGGUGUCAGACGGACGGCCAGGAGCUCGACUGAGUGAUGGGCCCCGAAAUAGGAGAGGUAAGCACCGCCUGUUGUUGGAUCUCCAAAGGUGCUGAAUUGGAAAUCAAGCUAAAUUAAAUGUUCACUCAGUGGAGCUUCUGUUCUGUCCGUGGUGAUUUUGGGGUAAUUAGUGUUAAAACUUAAGGGGGAAUAUUUGAAGUGAACUGUUGAGUUAAGAGGUUAUGUGUUUAAGUCAAUACGGUUUAAAAGGUUUAAAGGUUUAAAUGUGGGGUGGUUGGGUGCCAGCCAAUCACCCCACCCGGUAGCGUAGGGUAUGUGGUUUAAUUGAUCAGUAAAAACGCGGUUUUGGGUCUCAGGUAAUUAAACUGGAGGGCAGGGUACCCACAGUGAGGCUUUUAAAAUAAGUAAAUUUAAUUAGGACGGGGGCGUGGCCCCUAGGAAUGCAGUCUGUUCAGCAGGUGGCGCUGACCCCUAAUUGCGGACGCGUGGUUAGGUUUUAAGCUCGGAGUGGCUCUCCGUGGGACUUCGGACACCCGUUAAUAAAGCUAGGUGAUCUACGAGUGAUUGCCUUAAUACUGCAUUAAUUGACUGACAGGGUCGCGGACCCGGCCAGGACCACCCAACGUCGUUGGCCUGAGAGCUUUAAGUAAAGCUGAAGGCGUGGGUUUGAUACUAGCGCCAGAGGUGGAGCUCCUUCCCAGCUGCGGGAAAUGGUUAUAAAUCAAUUAGAGCUUAGGAAUUAGACUGCGAUCGGGAGGGCGGGUCCCGAAGCGUGUAAUUGAUCAGAAAGGCGCGGCCUGGGCUACAGAGGCUUUUAAAUUAGUCAAAAAGUUUAGGUACACCAGCAGAGAAAUAGAGAAAAGAAGCUGGUCUGGCAUGUGGUGUUUUUCUUACGUUUAUACGGGCCCGUGUGUAAAUAGAAUAUAAAUUACCGGUGUGUGUAAAUAAAGUGUAAAAUAGUGGUAUAAAUUGUCUGUUGAAUUUCUCCUGAGUGUUGAAAAAAGGAAAAACUCUUUUCUGCUCUCUCUGAGAGAGGGGCUGUGUGUGUGUGUGACAGGAAGAGUGCAUGCCCAUAGAAGGAAAGAGAUGAGGUAAACUCUGUGCAGAUAGACCGAAGUAAAAAAAAAAAAAGGAAAAGUGUGUCUCUCUCUCUGUCUCAAGCAGUUGCAAGGAGGGGGGCUUCUAACCCCGCGGUGUGUGUAUGAGGAGAGAAGGAGAGAGAGGGGGGCAGCGUGCGUCCAUUUAAUAUUGAGGAAAGUGCAGAAACAGUUUUUUUUUUUUUUUUUUUCUGUUUCUUUAAGUUUGAAUGGGCAUGAAGCGAAUGGAGGUUACGGAUAAAUAACGGUGGACUUCUCUCAACCUGGAAUUUUGGGUACGGCGCCAAAACCAGUAGAGUAACAUAAUUGGGAGAAAACAGGCCGGAUUUUGGCUUAAAAAGUUUUACAGCUUGACCUCCCACUUGUCCCGAUCCUGAGAAGAAGCUCAAAGGACAAUUAAUCUCCUGAUGAAGACCAAUAGAACAUCGUGAACUUGAGAAGAAUUUACAAGCAGCCGAAAAUAGUGCAACUGAACUGUUAACCCUGAAACCAAAACUGACAUGCACUCUGAGUUACAGGCUGGACAGUUGAACGGUGGGAAAGCACUGGACACUGAUUGUCAGAUUUGCCAUGCUUGGAGUAAUCGUGAAAGAGACGAUUGAAGCAUCAACAGCGAAGAAGAAACCACGUGAUGGACAAUGCACGGUGGACUGCAGGCUGGUAAGAACAGUGUGAUAUGACACUGAACGUGAUAUUUUGCCAGGCUGGGAUUUAAUCCAGAAGGAAAUACUGAAGAGAAACGGAGAAGAAACGGACUGUGUGCUGGUGAAUCCAGGACAAUAAAUGGACACUGAGAGAAGAGGACGGGAACCUGUGUGAGGUGAAGCUUGACUGUAAGAAUACGGGGUAUAAUUAGAUUGAAAUGAAAGCCUGCACUCGUGAUGGUGUUUAGAGAUGUCCACCGGAAAACUAAAAGAGGUAAACAGGAGAAGAUAAAAUAAAGAAAGAAAAUAACUGACAAUUACAUGAGUGAAUGGAAAACACACAUACACAAAGUGUUACAGGUGUAAUUAUACUCUUAUAAAGAAUCAGAAGUGAGAUAGUUUUGAAUGAAGAAAUCAGUGAAACGAUGCAUGAAUUCACUCUGAAUAUAACAUAUAGAGGCAAUGAAGAAUGCAGCUUACACUCACUGAACAUUAACAAAAACAUAUAGGAUUGGCAAUGAAGACCUGCUUACACUUACGGGCAGUUUAAGUACUCAUGAUGAUAAUAAAAUGUCUCAAUUGUGUUUCUUCAGGGGCGAGACAGACCUGGAUCAAUUCCCCACGUGCAGCAGUCGGAAGAACCUAUAGGUUAACUUGACUGGAUAUGUUAAGGCCUGCAACAGUGAAUAACAGCACAAAUUCUCGGGAAGAGCAAAUAUAAGGUGGGCUUUCCAGAUUACAACUGGCUGAGGAGAAAGCUAUUCAAUCCAGUCCAAAACCUAAGGGACUAUUUUCCUAUGGAAAAUAAAAAUGAAGGAGCUCAGUUUGAAUAAAUCUGGACAAACAAUUUGCUUUUACUAGAGAAAGUUUCUGUUUUAUUGAGUGGGGUUAUAUUAUGGGGAUUAUAGUAUAUUGUUGGGAGAAUCCCAAAUGCUAAAGGGGGUAGGUGUCAAAAUAGAGGAAAUCUGCCAAAUGUUAAAGGGGAAAAUUAGUGAGGGUUGAAGAAGGAGAAUAGGUUUGAUUUCUUUUUGAUUUCUAGAAGUAGUGGCUAUAAUGUAGGCGUACACAUACAGUUAUUACAUAGAUUUAUUUUUGGGAUAAAGGGGAGAGCUUAGAAAUAGAGAUGAUUUCUUUUUAAUAUACAUAUUGCAUUUUGUGCCUUUAAAGGAGUUGUGGCUCAAUUCAUCUCUUGAGGGUCACGAGCCUUUGGCUAGCGCUAUGAUUGGCCAAUCUACUGUGAGGAGGAUAUGAGUCAUUGUAGGAUUGCACACGCUUACAGACACAGAGUCCAGAAACACACAUGAGAGCAUUGAUUCCAGGCAAAAGGCCUCAAAUUUGUUUAGCUUUUAACUGAACUUAAAGACGGACCAAAGAGGAAGGAAAGCAUAGAUUUUGGUUAAGUCUGAUAAACUAGAAUUAGAAUGUAUUGUUACAUUAAAAGGAGCCAAAUGAAAUAAAAAGAGUUAUAUCAAAACAGGUUAUAACAUAGGAAAUGUGAGGUUAAAGUGAAGUUAGUGUUAACACACAGGAGUUGUUUCUGGGUAACAUUUAGCUAUGAUGAAAUUUAGGCAGGAGUAAUUGCUUAUAUGCUUCGACUCAAUUGAUUAAAGUGGAAAUGGGGUUUUGUUCCCUUUGCAGUAGAUCUCGGGACCACAAGAGAGGGUCAGAGCGAGGACACAACCUAUGGCGCUAAAUAAUAAAACAUCAUCACCAUUGCAUUAAUAAUAUAAUUGACAGCACAGAUAUAAUUUAAUUCGGAGGUUUAAACAGGGUGUGUUUUUCAGAAAGACUAAGGUGCAUUCUUUUACUAAGCUCUUAGUAGGGGUUCUUGAUGAAAACAUUUAUUCAGCCUCUGGUCGGGUAAAAGGUCAGAAGGGCAACGGGUGAAUUGAUUGGGAGAGUAUUUGAGGACGACACACACACAUGCAAUGGAGUAAUGAAAGUCAGUAGGAUUAGCUCAUUAGGAUCAAACACAAUUUUAAGUAGGUAAUACUGUUACCAUCAUCAUGUCUGGUUUAUUGAGUGGGUUGAGAACUGACACAUAGACUACUUAAUUAGUAUUUUGGGGAACAUGAUAGCAGGGGUGAACAGAAUCCUGCAGCCAGAGUUUAAAUGAGUGAAAUUAAAUGAGUGAAACUGGCAGAUUUUUGUUUUGUUUUUUGUUUUGUUUUUGUUUUUUAAGUACGGGUGUUUUCUCACCUAUAAGAGAAAGAAUAUUCUGUGACAAGUCCUAAGACCGGGCUUCUGUAUUUUUAUUUUCUUUUGUUUUUCAGUUUUAUUUGUCAUUUUUCAUUUUAUUUUUAUUUUUUGAACAGUGCACUGAUUUUUGUUUGUGAAUUUCUUUUCUUUAAGCAGAUCUGCACGUCGGGAAUUAAAAGCGCUGUACGACACGUCGUCGAGGAAAUUGUUGCAAGUGAGUUUCUCCACAUUAAAAUGGGCUCAGGAGAAAGCCACUUAUCUGGGACAAUUAGAAAGUAAGUUCCUGUCCAAAAAGGAUUCAGCGAUGUAAUCCAAGCUAAAGUUCUUCGUUUUCUUUUUGAAAUGACGUCAUUUUGCUGAGUGUGGAAACUAAAUGCGACGACAGGUUUCACUAUCAGCAAAGAAAUGGAUGAAUGGAUGAAUGGAUGAAAGACUGGAAAUACAACAAACAAACGGACUGACUGGUAAAAGAUGACAAGACUUGACCACGACUCAAGGUUAACCACCUCCACCUAGAUAGGAUAAAAGGGUGGAUGAAUUUAUGUGUUUCUUUCUACAGGAGCAGAAAGAGGACAGCGACAUCUGAGGUUGCAUGACGAUUUAACUUUUAAAUGUUACUUUCUGUGUAUGUGAAAGUGUGUACACACCUGCGCAGCGUUAUCAACCACUUGUCAACUUAAAAAGAGAGUGUUGUUUGCCAAUAAUGUUUUCCUACUACAGGAUUUCUGGGCUUAUGUGUGAAGAAACGGUGUUUAUGGGUUAUGAUUUGGUAAGGCGAUUAAACGGCGGGAGACACAUCCUGUCUUGAAAACAGUGUGAUUCUUUUUACAGGAAAUCUUUUAUAGCAUCUCUGGUAGGUAGAUGGCUGACCGCGGUCAAUGUGCUGCUAAUGUUUGCUUUGCUGUUGUUAAGAAUGCGUGAGGAGGGUGCAGUAGAAAACAGACAAGUGACAUGAAAACAAAAGAUUAAUAGUAAAACAAGUAAUAAUAACAAAUAACAAAUUUGGGGACAGUUUGUCGUAGAGCUCACUAACUGGCCAUUAGGGGGCUCUGAGUGAUAAACAAGGGGAGUAACAUUGCCCAAAGUGUGAAUAAAACAGAUUGCGGCAAUAGUAGUGAUUUAAUGAUUGGAGAGAAUCUGAACACGAUACUUGUCUGUUGUGCUGAAUCUUUUAUUACUCUUAUGAUUUACAGGGGGUAAAUAAGCUGUCUGAUUUAACAGAUUUGCUUUUUAGGUGAACUGGGAGUUAAAGGAGGUUAACAGGUAGCUGCUGACUAAUGUUUUUACACAGGGUUACUGGUUGGCGGGAGAGUGUGUUAGAGAGGAUGUGUAAUGUUCUUGUGCAGUUUGCAGUAGGGAGAUUGCAAAUACAACUAGAACUAUUAACGGAGACUAAUUAAAACUAACCUGAAACUGAGGAGGUUCUAUAUAAGGAAGAAUUAAAACAGAUAUAAAAUGCAUCCGAUCUUUAAUUGCAGGUGUGACCAUGAAGAUUUUUGGUACAUAUUGCAGGUUGUUGCUCAUUAUAGAAUUGUGCUCAGCUUCAUAAGGCAAAAAGCUAUAGCAGGGGUCUAUGAUUUCGUUUGUGUUUUAAUGAUUUAGGUAUGGCAAAAUUAAAGGUUUUUGGACAAUUUAGGGAACCAGUGAGAAGCAUGAUUAGAUGAUCAGAAACUGAGUACUAGACUUAAACUUAAGUUAGAAUUAAAAAUGCCCAAUUGGUUGGAGGUCUGUUGGUCACUUUUAUACACACAUAGGCAUGGCAUAGGAUUGGAAUAAACAAAGUCAACAACAUUAGGUUAGGAGAGCCAGCGAGGGAGAUGUGUUGGUUUUCUGUCUCUUGCAGAGAAAGGAACAGACACCAGAUGAGGUCACAGAUAGGCGAGGAUCCUUCGCAGCAGAGAUAGACACAGUGACUGCCGAGACAUCAACUGGGUCCAAGGGUCAUGGCGUUUGGGCUCCAGGUAGUCACCUCAAAAGGAUGGAUCCCAUAAACACAGCAGUAACCAUGAAGGGGUUGGCGGAAAUCCAGGAACACCAGACCAACGAGGUUCGAGAGGCUCUGGGGCUAAAGGGGGACACAUUCCGGUUUCUUUUCCUGGAGGUUCGAGGACCUGAGGAUACACAGAUCGUUGUUCGAAAUCGGGGCAGAAUAAUCCCCUGAUCUGUGCCACGACUGAAGGGUUGUCUAACCCCUGAGGUUGAAGAAUGAAGAGGAGCGUCGCGCCAAGCAGCAUUUGAUUAAUUCAUUCCAGGCUCCUAAUAGGCUAGGGCUCUAGACUGAAGUAAUUGAUAGUUUAAAGGAAUCGUAAUCGUUUUGUAUGUUAACCACAUAUUUUUAUACUCAGAAGUUUAUACUCUCAUUCUUAUAACCUCAUAUUUUUAUCACGAAGUUUAAAGUAAAAGUAAAAGAGCCUGGGAACAGGGAUCAUGAAACUGUGGGGAAAAUUAGAAACUAACGAGGAUGUUGGGGUUGAUAAGUGCUGUAACGUGUUGGUUGAAGUUGUGCUGGCAAAGCCAGCACAAAAAGGGGGAGUUAUUGAGGAAAACAUCUUAUUUUACUGUCACUGUAUAUCAUUCAUAAAGCACCGUCAUUAUUUCAUUAUUACUUCAUUAGUCCGCAUCAGCUUAUCAUCAAUAUUAUCAUGUAUCACAAUACUCUAUCAGUUAGUAGAGCACCAGUUUAGCUGGGGGUCCAGUCAGCCCGCAGUAAAGUCAUAUGAGGACACGGUGAACUUUUGUUGGCCGGAAACGGACACUCUCACACAACUACACAUUCUACACACUAUUGGUUAUGUUCCCAGAAUACAGAGGAGUGGAAACAUCUGGAACAUGUUGUUGUUCUUAGCCAUACAAGGACAUAGAAGGGUGAACUGACUGAUACUUAUCAGGUGACUUGACGUCAUCAUUGCAAUAAAAACCUUGUGUUAGGGUUGUUCUUGGGAGAUUUGCUCGUGAAGACUUGUGACGCUCAUCUUCCCCAUAUGUACA